rnacentral:misc_RNA from 1 species
CCUAGAGUUAUAGGCUUUGCCUGCUAUCUCUUACCCAUGUCUUUUGAGUACCUUCGUUUCCUCGGCGGGUCCGCCCGCCGAUUGGACAAUUUAAACCAUUUGCAGUUGCAAUCAGCGUCUGAAAAAACUUAAUAGUUA